rnacentral:rRNA from 1 species
GAUGAACGCUAGCUACAGGCUUAACACAUGCAAGUCGAGGGACCGGCGCACGGGUGAGUAACACGUAACCAACCUCACCUUUACUCGGGGAUAGCCUUUCGAAAGACAGAUUAAUACCCGAUGACAAGGAUGGGGAUGCGUUCCAUUAGGUUGUGGGUGAGGUAAAGGCUCACCAAGCGUCCGAUGGAUAGGUGUUCUGAGAGGAAGGUCACCGACAUUGGAACUGAGCCCCGGUCCAAACUGGUACGGGAGGAAGCAGUGAGGAAUAUAGGUAAAUAGGCGUUAGCCUGAACCAGCCAAGUAGCGUGAAGGAUGAAGGGUUAUGGGUCGUAAUCUUCUUUUAUAUACGAAUAUGUAUUAUAUCAAUAAGGAUCGGCUAACUCCGUGCCAGCAGCCGCGGUAAUUC